rnacentral:rRNA from 1 species
AGCGAACGUUUGCGGCGGGCCUAACACAUGCAAGUCGAACGCACUAGCAAUAGUGAGUGGCGCACGGGUGCGUAACACGUGGGUAAUCAACCCUUCAGCCUGGGAUAACGACUCGAAAGGGUCGCUAAUACCGGAUACGGCGCGAGAGGCUUCGGCUUCUCACGAGAAAGCCACGCAAGGGGGCACUGAAGGACGAGCCUGCGGCCCAUCAGCUAGUUGGUGAGGUAAGAGCUCACCAAGGCUAAGACGGGUAGCUGGUCUGAGAGGAUGAUCAGCCACACUGGAACUGAGACACGGUCCAGACUCCUACGGGAGGCAGCAGUGGGGAAUAUUGCGCAAUGGGCGAAAGCCUGACGCAGCCACGCCGCGUGAGCGAUGAAGGCCUUCGGUCGUAAGCUCUGUGGGGAGAGACGAAGAAGACCUGUGAAGAGACAGGCCUUGACGGUAUCUCCUUAGUCAAGCACCGGCUAACUCCGU